rnacentral:rRNA from 1 species
UACGAAGGGUGCAAGCGUUAGUCGGAAUUACUGGGCGUAAAGCGUGCGUAGGCGGAUUGCUAAGUCAGGGGUGAAAUCCUGGAGCUCAACUCCAGAACUGCCCUUGAUACUGGCGGUCUCGAGUCCGGGAGAGGUGAGUGGAACUGCGAGUGUAGAGGUGAAAUUCGUAGAUAUUCGCAAGAACACCAGUGGCGAAGGCGGCUCACUGGCCCGGUACUGACGCUGAGGUGCGAAAGCGUGGGGAGCAAACAGG